CGUCUCAGCCGGUCGACUGGUAGAUUUGUGGUAAAGUUCUUGAAUUGUAAAAUUCUAAUCAAAUUUGAUCUGAUCUGUUUCUUUUUAUCCAUCCAUGGAUGGAUGGAUCGAUGGAUGGAUGGAUGUUUCUUUUUAACGCUCUGCAGGAGUGGAGAGAUGGGGGAAAAUCUGGAUUUAAUCCUCGCUGUUUAAACUCCAGCCUCUGGACACACACACACACACACACACACACACACACACACACACACACACACACACACACCACACACACUGCUGCUUAAUGAAAAAUAGAAAAUGACUCCAAUCCGCCGUAAGCUGCUUUGCUUAAUCACGUUAAUGUGUAUUAUUAAACCGCCGAACACUCGCUGGCUUUAUUUCCAGAUGUUGUGAAGAAAAGCCUCAUUUUACUCACUUUCAAUCUCGCUUCAUUACACACCGCCGCUUCAAUACAAAUAAUAUAUCGAAUACAAACACGUCUUCAUUUUCCCUGUCUAAAAACAGUUCAGCUCUUGGUCUGUUUUUAAACUGAACAUCGACAGUGAAACGGCACUCGGUCAUUGUAUUAGCGCAGUCUUAAUUAUUAAACUAAUGCUUUUUAAAGUUAUCCUUUGAAUCGUGACGAAGCACCAUUUGGGGUUUUUUAUGCACCAAAGAUCUAAAUCGCAACCAAUAAGCUUGCAAAAAAGAGCUAAAAAACGUAUUUUACAAACUAUAGUGUUAGCAUUUUUAUUGAUUUUUUAGGAGCACAUGCAGCUAGAAGUAAGCUUUGUGAUCUCUUUUGAAGCUCAUGUAGAUAAUAUUACCAUGAUAGCCUUCUUUCAUCAUGCUAGGAUAAGAAAUAUAAUAGCAUCACAUGCUUUUGUUACCUCUAUGUUGAACUAGUGGGAUUGUAUUGCGAUCAAAGCGUGCAGGCUCUUUAUUAGUACCUAUAAUAAUGAAGGCUACAGCACGAGGCAGAGCGUUUCAUGGAACAACCUUUUACAAUUUCAAAAUAUUCGGGACUUGGACACAGUCUCGCUCUUUGAAAACUUUGAAAAUUUGUUUAGUUUGUUUGUUUCGGUAAGAGCGCCAUGUACCAUGUGGGCGGAGCCAAACAAAUAUUAACCAAUAAAUGAUAACUGGGCUAACAUAGAACCUUAUGAGGACAUUAUGUAUGAGUAAUGUGUCUGCUGUGAUAAUAGUUAAUCGUGCAUUUUACCACAUAAAAGCAGUGAAUUGGUGUUGAUUUAGAAAUAAAAGAGAAUACACACCCCAGAGUCAAGACGUGUUAGAGGCAGCUAUAUCUACACCAGUCUGGACACCUGGAUUUGGAGAUCAUCCCCCGCUCCUCUUCGCAGAACUGUUCUAGCUGGGAAAGAUUUCAUCAGGUUCUGCCUCAGAACUCCGUCUCCAUGUACUUGGCUCCGUUCAUCCUGCCCCGCAAUCUCUGCAGAUGACAAACAUCCCCACGACAUCAUUCUACCUCCACCAUGCCUCACAGUCGAGAUGGUGUUUUUAUUGUUAUUGUUGCCAAAAAGUUUUACUCUGAUUUCCUCCAUCUGACGACAAAAGCUUCUGCCAGUUUGUUGUCAGGUGUCUUUGUGCAAACUUCAUAUACCACUCCAGGUGGACCUUUUUGAGAACUGGCUUUCUUCUUUCCACCAUACAGGCCAGAUGUGUGCAAUAUCUUCUGAUAUUGGUGUGAUGCACAUGUGUACCUCUGUUGGAUGUAAAAUCCUGUAGAUCUUUCACCAAGAACACUUGCUUCCUGGUGGUCUCUCUGACCAAGUGUUUUUCUUUCUGAGUCAUCUAGAUUUGAUGGACACCCAGAUUUAUUUUGUAUUUUUUUGCAGACUCUGGGUGGAGCCAUGCACUUUCCACUUCUCAAUGAUGGACUUAACAAGCACUCUGGGGAAUCUUCAAAGCCUUGGAAAAUCUUUUUAUGUCCCUCACCUGAUGUUUACCUGCUCCUGGAGAUCACGCUGCUGCCUUUGUGUGGAUCUGCACAGCUGAUCAAAACAGCUGUUCUUAUUCAAGCUGUCGAUUUUAUGCAGAUGUUGAACAAAUGACGCGACUCUGUGACCAUGGAGGCAGCUGGUUAUUAUUAUUCCUGAGAUAUUGUUUAUCAAACCUAGUUAUUAAUGUUGUUCAUAUUUAAAUAAAGUUAGAAAUGUUUAUUAUUAGCUUUUCAAAUCAUUAAAGAGUGCGCAUUUAUUUAUUUUUUAAUCCGCUGUAACUUCACUAUUAACAUUCUGUCACAAUUCUUUCUCUUUUUCAUUUCCUGUGACAUGUUAUAUUUAAAUAACUACAUGGUUUCAAAAUGUGGUUUAAAAUAAAUCACUUUUUAAUCAGUUCGACGCUGAUUUUAUCCACAAGGAAAGAUUUCUCUUCAUGUGUGAGAUGAGAGCUUCAAAGUCCAGGCUCUUUUU